AACGAACGCUGGCGGCAUGCUUAACACAUGCAAGUCGAACGAGACCUUCGGGCCUAGUGGCGCUCGUGUGCGUAACGCGUGGGAACUUGCCCUUAGGUUAGGUAUCACUGAGUGUAAUUUGAGCUCAUACCGGUUGAUGUCAUCGGACCAAAGAUGUAUCGCUUUUGGAUGGGCGCGCGUUGGUUUCGCCGGUUGGUGGUGUAAAGGCCUAGCAAUGAGACGUUCCAUAGCUGGUCGGGUAGGAUGAUCAGCCGCGCUGGGACUGAGACACGGCCCAGACUCCGACGGGAGACAGCAGUGUGGAAUAUUGUACACGGGGGGAUAGCCUGGUCCAGCAAUGCCGCGUGUGUGAGGAAUGGCUUUGUGUUGUAAAGCUCUUUGAGCCGAAAUGAGAAUGACAGUAUCGGGAGAAUAAGCACCGGCUAACUCCGUG
rnacentral:rRNA from 1 species